rnacentral:ncRNA from 1 species
CGAGACAGGUGCCCCGCAGGGGGCUUAAUAGGGAAGUCCGGUGCAAUACCGGCGCGGUCCCGCCACUGUAAUGAGGAGCAAGCUCAAUAAGCGUGUCCCCACGCUGCCACUGGGAGUAAUUCCGGGAAGGUUUGAGUGCGCAAUGAUCCUGAGCCAGGAGAACUGCCUGUCUG